CUCGAGCUUCUCACUCAUUAGAGACAUUUACACAGCAUAUAUUUGAUUUCUGUUGUAUUUAUUUGUAAAAUGUUGCAUGUUCUUCCUUUAAAAACCAGGCACAAAGAUGAAGAAAGUGUAGAAAUCACAAGGUGUGGGUUGUGAUUUUUUUUUUUUUGCAUCGUUGACUGAUUUAAAGAAAGGUGGAUUAUUUAACGAAGAGCUCUGCCUGAUUCUGUGGGUGAUAUCUGAAAACAGUCCCUAACAUAUAAAAGAGUCGGGGGGGGGAAAACCCUGGCUGCUACUCAGAAAUUCACAAGAAAACAGGAGAAGUAAGUUAAACAGUGACAUUUUGUUGAAUUUUUUUUUUUUUUGUCUCAGUUUAACCACACUCAGAGAAUUCAGCAAUUACCUUGGUGAUUUUAAAUGUUAUUUAACCACUAAACUAAAUAAACUGGAGUUAUCCUUAAAGCUACUUCCUGGUGGAUAAUAAAGCCGUACACAAAGAUACUUGACCAUUAAAUGAAAGAGGGCUUAAUGACUCCCAAUUAUUCUACACUCUAUGUAUGUUCCUAUAUGACUCUAUGUAAAAAAAAUAUAUAUUAAAAAGUGUGUACAGACAGGUAUUUUGCAAGUAUGUCAAACUAAUGCAACAUGUACUCUACUAUCCAGCAACUUCAAAUUGGAGUGUCUGUAUAUCAGUAUAUAUAAUCCUUGCCACCACAAACACCCUAAAUAUGAAAUAUAUGCCAGAUAUAUUCACAAAUGUUACCUAACACAGUUCCUCUUUUACUCACCGUAUAGUGGUUUGUCCUCUAGUCGACUUAUAUUCAACUACAGGACCGCCUUCAGAGAAGAAUUUAGGCUGUGAGACAGUGAACACUUACAAGCUCGUACGUAUGAGAUUAAACUAUUGUUUCCCACAAUACAACCACAAGAACACUAAAGAGGAAUGGAAAAUGAAUGCCUGUGAAUUAUUAUUAAGAGAUAUAAAGUCUCUGAUUAUGAUAUUUUCUGAUCUGAUGUUUAAUUCAGUCAAGAAAGAAAGUUAUUAAAUAUGUGCAAAGUAGACGUCUACGCCGAUGAUGUUGUAGUGUUGCAUUGAAACUAAAAAUCUAAAAUUGGAGCUUUUGAGUUGAUCUUUAAAAUUUCAAAUCUGACAGCAGUUAAGUACUUUUUUUUGUUAAGAAAAGGAAACCAACAAGUGCGUUGUUUGAAGAUUGGUACCUUUUUUUUUUUUAACCCCUUCAUCAUCUUUUUCUCACAACCAAACGCAACAGAAUAUUUCCUGUUUUGUCAGAAAACAGAGGAUAUAGUUUGUGGUUUUUCAUGAGCCUGUCAUGGAGAGGGAAGAUGCUGUGCUGUGGUAAAAGUUGCCGGGAUGUUGUUAACAACCACAAACUGUUGUCUAUGAGCUGCGACGACGAGUGAACACUCCUGGUAUGAGUUCGUGUGACGUGUGCAUGUUUAUGCUGCAACACAUCUGUGCAGAAGCUGUGCUGAGGUCCGUUGUGUAAAGUUUAGAAAAGCUACAACAGGUUUUUAAAUUAUUCUUUGCUUUUUGUGUACAUGAGGCUGUAAAAAUCAAACAAAAAAAUCUGAAAUUAUCUCAUCUGUGUUUCCUUUUUUGGGUGUCUUUACAGCAGGCUCACUCUGUUUUCUCGGGACACAAAGUGAGCAAAUCCAAUCCAGUUAGAGAUUAUUUUAUCAUAAAAUUAUACUCAGAGUUACUCAGGAGACAAUGACCUGGCCGUUUCAUUUUUCUGUUACUUGUAAAGCUCCACUCUCCUACAAGUCAUUUGAGUCAGGUUGAUCUCCUGUGUACCAUGAAGCGCACACCGAGACCUCAGCACUAAUGAGCUCUCCACAACACUAAUGAGAGGUAAUGGUCUAAUCGUACUUGGUGGUACAACUCUGCUGGUAUUAAAGGACUUUACAAGUGCAACCAACAGAGGAAUAUAAAGAGUCACUUUUUCUUUCUCUCUGUCUGUAAAUAUUCCUAUAAAUAAACUGGAACUUGCACUGAAA